GACGAACGCUGGCGGCGUGCCUAAUACAUGCAAGUUGAGCGCUGAAGGUUGGUACUUGUACCAACUGGAUGAGCAGCGAACGGGUGAGUAACGCGUGGGGAAUCUGCCUUUGAGCGGGGGACAACAUUUGGAAACGAAUGCUAAUACCGCAUAAAAACUUUAAACACAAGUUUUAAGUUUGAAAGAUGCAAUUGCAUCACUCAAAGAUGAUCCCGCGUUGUAUUAGCUAGUUGGUGAGGUAAAGGCUCACCAAGGCGAUGAUACAUAGCCGACCUGAGAGGGUGAUCGGCCACAUUGGGACUGAGACACGGCCCAAACUCCUACGGGAGGCAGCAGUAGGGAAUCUUCGGCAAUGGACGAAAGUCUGACCGAGCAACGUCGCGUGAGUGAAGAAGGUUUUCGGAUCGUAAAACUCUGUUGGUAGAGAAGAACGUUGGUGAGAGUGGAAAGCUCAUCAAGUGACGGUAACUACCCAGAAAGGGACGGCUAACUACAUG
rnacentral:rRNA from 1 species